rnacentral:rRNA from 1 species
CUCUCUAGUGACCGAUAGUGAACCAGUACCGUGAGGGAAAGGUGAAAAGCACCCCGGAAGGGGAGUGAAAUAGAACCUGAAACCGUGUGCUUACAAGUAGUCAGAGCCCGUUAAUGGGUGAUGGCGUGCCUUUUGUAGAAUGAACCGGCGAGUUACGAUUUGAUGCAAGGUUAAGCAGUAAAUGUGGAGCCGUAGCGAAAGCGAGUCUGAAUAGGGCGUUUAGUAUUUGGUCGUAGACCCGAAACCAGGUGAUCUACCCUUGGUCAGGUUGAAGUUCAGGUAACACUGAAUGGAGGACCGAACCAAUUUACGUU